rnacentral:rRNA from 1 species
CAGGCCUAACACAUGCAAGUCGAGCGGCAGCGACUUAACUGAACCUUCGGGGAACGUUAAGGGCGGCGAGCGGCGGACGGGUGAGUAAUGCCUGGGAAUAUGCCCUGAUGUGGGGGAUAACUAUUGGAAACGAUAGCUAAUACCGCAUAAUCUCUUCGGAGCAAAGAGGGGGACCUUCGGGCCUCUCGCGUCAGGAUUAGCCCAGGUGGGAUUAGCUUGUUGGUGAGGUAAUGGCUCACCAAGGCAACGAUCCCUAGCUGGUCUGAGAGGAUGAUCAGCCACACUGGAACUGAGACACGGUCCAGACUCCUACGGGAGGCAGCAGUGGGGAAUAUUGCACAAUGGGGGAAACCCUGAUGCAGCCAUGCCGCGUGUGUGAAGAAGGCCUUCGGGUUGUAAAGCACUUUCAGUAGGGAGGAAGGUAGUGUAGUUAACACCUGCAUUAUUUGACGUUACCUACAGAAGAAGCACCGGCUAACUCCGUGCCAGCAGCCGCGGUAAUACGGAGGGUGCGAGCGUUAAUCGGAAUUACUGGGCGUAAAGCGCAUGCAGGCGGCCUGUUAAGUCAGAUGUGAAAGCCCGGGGCUUAACCUCGGAAUUGCAUUUGAAACUGGCAGGCUAGAGUCUUGUAGAGGGGGUAGAAUUUCAGUGUAGCGGUGAAAUGCGUAGAGAUUGAAGGAAUAC